GGCCCGGGUAUCUUGGGAAAUUUCAUCGUGAUGGGGAUAGAUCAUUGCAAUUGUUGGUCUUCAACGAGGAAUGCCUAGUAAGCGCGAGUCAUCAGCUCGCGUUGACUACGUCCCUGCCCUUUGUACACACCGCCCGUCGCUCCUACCGAUUGAAUGGUCCGGUGAAGUGUUCGGAUCGCGGCGACGGGGGCGGUUCGCCGCCCCCGACGUCGCGAGAAGUCCAUUGAACCUUAUCAUUUAGAGGAAGGAGAAGUCGUAACAAGGUUUCCGUAGGUGAACCUGCGGAAGGAUCAUUG
rnacentral:rRNA from 1 species